AGUUUACCAGGACACGUAGACCAUGCCUCUGGAAGUGAUGGGCUCAGCACUUCAUGUAAAGCUAAAACUGAUGGGAGAAGGCAGUAAGUACUGCACACCAAAGGCCACUACUCCAGUUCUCUACAGGAUUUGGUCCUUACUCUGGCCAGUACUUGCUUUCUACUAAUAUUUUUGUAGUUUUAAUUGCUGAAAUAUCCAAAUAACAAGCACUUUCAAAAAUGCUUCCUAAAUUAGACAAACUUGCUAAAUGUUAUAUAGUUGCUUUAAGUGCAGCAAGUUAUUACUCCUUAGUAAAAUAAUUCAGACAAUCAAAUGUACACAUGAGCAGAAGGAAUCUGAUUUCCCAUUAGAACAGGUGGAAAAUCUGAAGGUCUGAAGAUAAGAGUCAAGGUAGACAUAAACUGGUUUGCUCAGUUUGAAAUGGUUGCAGCAAAAGUUUCUUGCAGAAAAAGCCCAGAAUUCAGCUGGUAGCUGUUUGGACUCUUUUUGGUGUUUUUCAGUGGGGGAGGUUUCCUCUCCCAGAUUUCAAAUGCAUGCUCUUUGCUUCAGGCAUGCAUGUGCUGGUGGCACAUCUCACCUCCUGACAGCACCUGUAAGGUCAGGGCACUCAGGCUGUGGUGCCCAUGCAGAAUUUUAAUGGGGUUCUUGUUGCUGAUGUUCUGCUUGGCUGGGCUUCAUUCCUUUAUCCCCGCCAUGUCUCAGCUGGAGAGCAUGGCAGCUCCAGCAGAGGGAAGCUUUAUGGUUAGGGGAGUAAUUUAGGUUGGAUGGAACCUCUGGAAGUUGUCUGGUCAGCCCCAACACAGAGCAGGAGCCAUGCAGGUGACUUUGGCGAGGGCCAGGCAAGUUUCCAGUGUCUCCAGGAUAGAAUUCCCACAGCUUUUCUGGGCAACCUGUUCUGGCAUCUAAUUAUGACAUGCACAACAACAAUAUCAAAUUUGUUUAUACUUUCUUCUUCUUGUAUCCUUACAGAUGAGUUCUGGGAGGUAUAGUAAAAGGCUUAGCUUUAUAUACAGGUUCCAGCUAGAAAUUUUUGUUGGGAAAGAAAACCACCUAAACAGGCAAGAUCAAUUCAGGUGACAGGGUGCUGGGCUUUUCCUUUACCUGAGCCCUUGUAUAAUGAAGAAAAUAUAAUUGUGGAUGAAUUUCCUGGAGACAGAUGCAUGCUGGAGACAGAUAUGGACUGUACACAGCAAGUGUGCUGUCAGAAAAGCAUUGCCAGUUUUGGCUUUGUGCAUUUCUUGCACUCUGAUUUGCCUGAGAUGCGGUUCCAAACCCAGUCCAUGGGUGCUGCAAUGCAGCUGCCAGAAGGAGCAGGAUCUGAGGCCACGGGGGCAGAUCCAUUGGGACUCACAGUUUCCCAUCUGCACAGCAGUGAGUAUUGGGAUCAUUCCAACCACCACCAUUGCUUCUGGGAUUUUUCCCAACCAAAGGCAUUCUGGAAUGGUUUCACAUCUUGCUCUGAAAUAUGUACACAGUUAUUUCACAAUAUGUGUAUUUAAAGGAAUGCAAAUGGUUUCAAAAGACUGGUUGGCAAAAUAGCAUUUCAAGUUGUUGUGCUGUGAUAUAUAGUAACUACUGUGAGAUUUAUUUUAGAUGAAGAGAAAACACAACUACUCUGUAA